rnacentral:tmRNA from 1 species
GGGGUUGAUUUGGUUUCGACUUCGUACAUUGAGCCAGGGGAAGCGUGCCGGUGCAGGCUAGAGACCACCGUUAAGCGUCGUAGCACUCAAUAAACGCAGAGAAGAACUCUCAGCGUGACUACGCACUUGCUGCCUAAUUAGCAAUGCGUGUCUGUCAGCCUAGGUUUUGUUCCUGACCUAGUAACUGGCAUCGACUAAGGAACUUGCCAUCCGGUUGCGUCUUCAGGGCCGGAUGGGACCACUACUGGAGACUGGGCCCAUCAUCCGGACGCGUUCGUCCGAUCCGGAGGGCCGAGCAGAGAUUCCGCGCGAACUGCGCACGGAGAAGCCCUGGCAAGAUGACGAAGGACCCGGGUUCAAUUCCCGGCAGCUCCACUA